AUACAGAGGGUGCAAGCGUUAAUCGGAUUUACUGGGCGUAAAGCGUGCGUAGGCGGUUCGUUAAGUCGAUUGUGAAAGCCCUGGGCUCAACCUGGGAAUUGCAGUCGAUACUGAUGGACUAGAGAACGGUAGAGGGAGGCGGAACUCCAGGUGUAGCGGUGAAAUGCGUAGAUAUCUGGAAGAACACCGAUGGCGAAGGCAACCUCCUGGGCCUGUUCUGACGCUGAGGCACGAAAGCGUGGGUAGCAAACAGGAUUAGAUACCCUGGUAGUCCACGCUGUAAACGAUGAGAACUUGACGUCGGGUCGCUUAGCGAUUCGGUGUCGAAGCUAACGCGCUAAGUUCUCCGCCUGGGGAGUACGGCCGCAAGGUUGAA
rnacentral:rRNA from 1 species